AGGGCGGUGCUCUGACCAAUUGAACUACAAUCCCCGCGGGGUGUAUGGCAUACCUAUCCUAUCCUUAAAUAGAAGAAUAAGAAGAUUCGAUUCGUCUGUCGUACUCUAAGAAAUAGACGAAUCAUAUACUACAUACCCACAUAUUAUAUGUGGGUAUUGUGAGAGUGACAUAACUAAUAUGUCGUGAUUUUUUAUCACUAAAAAUGAAGGGUAAUCCACCUUUCAAUAAUAAAAACUCUUUUGUUUGUAAGAAAGGAAUGAGAGAGAUAUGGAUUAGAAAUUGAAUUUCCCCUUUUUUUCUUUCUCUUUUAUUUCUAUAGAUCAGACAUUUGUUUAUGGAAGAAAAAUAAAAAGAUUUAGUUCAUAUUCACGAAGCCCCAGAUUUUUGGGCCGAGCUGGAUUUGAACCAGCGUAGACAUUUUGUCAACGAAUUUACAGUCCGUCCCCAUUAACCGCUCGGGCAUCAACCCAGGAAGAAUUUUUUCUAGGGUUUUUGAUAAUCUAUGAUUAAUCUCCUUUCAUAAUACUCCCUACCCCCAGGGGAAGUCGAAUCCCCGCUGCCUCCUUGAAAGAGAGAUGUCCUGAACCACUAGACGAUAGGGGCAUCACUAGACGAUAGGGCCAUAUAUAACCGCUCGUGAUUAUACUAUAAUCAUAGUAUGAGCAAAUUUUUUUGAAUUGUCAAUAUACUCGAAGAGUAUAACAAGAUCCAAAGUAAAGAAUUUUUGCUACUUUGCUGUUAUGUUUUCAUAGGAUUUUUUUAAUUCAUGCUUAGAUUAAUUCAUGGGUCAUCCCCUACUUUAUUAGGGAAAUUCCUUUAAAAGGUAGAGAAUAAGAAUCGAUUACUAAAAGGAUUCUAGAUUAGUUCAGUAUAGGUAGUCAUUUGAUUGAUCUAAGAUGAAAAAGAGUCAAAUUUCAUUUAUUUUUUGCAAUUUAGAUUCCGUGCUUCAUUUAGUGUUCAGACCAAAAAUGCAUGCAUCUCGCACUAAGUCAUAAAAUUCAAUAAAAAAUAGAGAAAGUUUCAAAAACAAAGUAAAAAGUAAAUGAAUUUAGUAGAAAAGUAUUCUAUCAGAUUCGAACCGAUGACUUAUGCCUUACCAUGCCAUUACUCUACCACUAACUUUAAAAGCCCUUUAUCGGAUUUGAACCGAUGACUUACGCCUUACCAUGGCAUUACUCUACCACUGAGUUAAAAGGGCUUUUUUUUUAAUUCAAAAAUGAGCCACUUUCAUUUCCCAUUCUGGGUCUACUGCAUAAUGUACAUAAGAUAUGUAGAUAUCCAUAUAUCUAUAUAAGUUUAUUCAUCGUGAGGUUCAAAAUAUUGAUAAAAUCAAUAAAAAUAAGAAAAUAUUUGCUAUUAUCUCUUAUAACUUGCAUAAAACAAAGUAGAGAUCCUUUUUUAUAUAAUAAAAUGCGUGAAGAGAAAGUUGACACAAUAAAAAAUAAUAAACCAUACCCUAUACAUACCUAACUCUUCUUAAUUCAGGGUUUUUCGUUUCCGAAGACUAGGAAAAUAGGCGGAUUCUGGAACCCUAAGGAUUCGAUGGUAUAUGGCUAUGGAAAAUAUAAGAUUUUUGAUCCUAGCGGGAAAAGGAACGGAACAGAUACCCAAUAUGAUUCUUGGGAGGAACAUUUCGUAAUGGUCUUGAUCCUCUAUGCUCUUUUUUAUGUGUUGCUAGUUCGAUUGCACUUUUUUGAUUCUUUUAAACAAAACAAGAAUCUACUAAACCAGAAUUGAAAUUGAGUGAGUGGAAAAAAGGGGUUUAUAGGGACAGUUCAGAUGCUAUUGGCAUGGUAAGAAGAGGUGUAUUUUACAGACCAUAGGGGUUAUCGAAAUCCUAAAGUAAAGGCCUGCAAUCGAAGUAGAAGUACCAACGGCUCACUGCCAUGAACCUUCUCCAUUUGAUUCACUAAGGGGAAAUUCACCUGCUUCUCGAAUGGGUAUCAUUGACAAAGGGUUGCGUUUGUAUCAUAAUCUACAUGUAGCGGGUAUAGUUUAGUGGUAAAAGUGUGAUUCGUUCUAUUAAUAACUGAAUUAAAAUGAUAUACUUAAGGCAUCCUUAAGUUUUUUUCUAUUCCGAUGAAAACUUUAGUUCUUAUAAAGGAUUUCAUCCUUUUCCUCUCAAUAGCGUAUUGAGGAACAAUAUACAUUCUCGUGAUUUGUAUAAUUGAAAUUGCAUCCAAAAUACAAAUAGGAUUAUGAGUACAGAGUCGCGAAGCAUAAUUUUACAUUGGAUUAAGUAUUCCAUAUAUUAAAAAUAUGAGUAAAGGAUCUAUGGAUGGAGAUACAAAAAAGUUUUUUCCAAUCGUAACUAAAUCACCUUUACCUUCAAAACGGGAAAAGGAAGCCAAAUAGCUAAAAGCGGUAGUUUUGGUUUACUAGAACCAUCAGCAUAUUGUUUAAGCUCGGUGGAAACCCAAUUCUUUUCCUCAAGGAUCCCUUGAAUGAAAUUAGGGAACGAAGUAAGUAGAUUAGAUGGAUUUAGAUCGAAUUUCUAUCUCCUUACUCUAUAAGGAUCAUCUAGAAAGCGGAGAGCUUUGGUUCUAUUCAAAUAGAAAAGCUGACAUAGAUGUUAAGUGGUGAGAAUAUCCAUAAAGGAGCCGAAUGAAAUGAAAAUUUCAUGUUCGGUUUUGAAUUAGAGACGUUAUAAAUAAUCAACCAACGUCGACUAUAACCCCUAGCCUUCCAAGCUAACGAUGCGGGUUCGAUUCCCGCUACCCGCUCCAUUCUGUAUAUGUAUAAAAGGAGUAUUCCAUUUGUCUAGACCUGUAUAAAAGGAGUAUUCUAUUUGUCUAGACAUAGUUGAGGCCCGUAUUUAACCUUUUCCGUUCACCAUUUUCUGCUACUGCAGAGCGGAGUAGAGCAGUUUGGUAGCUCACGAGGCUCAUAACCUUGAGGUCACGGGUUCGAUUCCCGUCUCCGCACUUAGCAGUCUCUAUAAAAGGACUAUUCCAUUUCUAUAUAUAUGGUACAGGGUUGGGUGGUAUCCAAUCCAAUUUUUUUAUUCAUUACUUCCUGGCCUUAGAGGGCAAAAUUGAGCAGUCUGCGAAGCCGCCUGCCUCCAUAAGAAGAACAGGCAAGGUUUCUCCCUACCCUGCAGAAAAGAAAAAUGAAAGAAACGCACAGUCUACCUCCCUUCCCUUUAAAAGCAGUUUGCCAGUUCUUUGUCUCAGUGAAUACCCCCCUGUUGGCGAGUUCUAUUUCCCUCUCCGGAGCCCUCCUUUUUUUGAGUGGGGUGAAAAGUAAGGGUAAUAAGGGAUAGGGUACUAGACUAACACCUAAUUAAUAUAUAAUUUAUUCUAAGUAGUUAAACAUUCAACUAGACUAAAUUUUUUCUCAUAGUACUUGACUAAAGUAAGCGGGCAAGCGGCGGGAAUCGAACCCGUAUCUUCUCCUUGGCAAGGAGAUGUUUUACCAUUGAACUACGCUCGCUACGGAAUAUAUUUUAUAGCGUAUAUCCGCUUGUGUCGACCGUCUAUGUCUGGGUCGACCGUUUCAUUUUCUAUUAUAUUAGAGUUUUCCUUUUUUUGAUUGUCUGUCAAUCAAUAUUCUAAUGGCAAUGCAAUUUCAUAAUACUGAAAGAGAAGAGGUAGCAAUUCGGAACGCAAAUUGCGUUUUAAUGUGUCUCACUAUUUGAAUUUUUUCGAAGAAAUGUCCUUUUUAUUUAUUUUGUAUCGGGUUACUCAAUACUAAACAAAUUUAUGAAAUGAGAGAAUUCAGAAUAGCUACGAGAAAGACUAGACCAAUCCAUAAUGAUGUAUCGGAAAAAACAACGUUUUUAUUAUUUGACCAACCAUCAGGAGAAGCAAAUACAAGGGGUACACUAAUUACUAAGACUGAGGAAGUCGCAAUUAAUGCAAAAACAGCUAAUUGGAAAGCAAUAGUCAUAUUUCUAAUCCUCAAGCUAUCAUCAAAUAAAGUUGACUACAUAUUUGAUCCCUCACUUAACCUAAAUUGUAAAAAAUACAAGAAGUAGAAGGGGUUUAAUCAUGAAUCCAUUGAUUCUUCUCUUUAAUUAAUAAUUAAAACUUAUUACUUACCGCUUUUAUUUGGAUAUGGGGAUUAGGGUAGGGGAUUUAGUCUUUAUUUCAAAAGCGGGUAUAGCGGAUCUUCUAUCCGUGUAUACAGUAUACAGAAAUAUAUCGAAAAAGGAUUUGCAUCUGAGAUGUUUCUAGAGGUUAGUAGAUCCUUUUAUUUUUAUAUGGCUGUGUUCUAUUUCUAGGAUUAAAGAAAAAGGGAGUAAUCGAAGAAUUAGAGAAAGAUCUACAAAAAGAAAUUAACUCUGUAAACCAGAGAAUUAAUAUUUCUAUCGAAAAAGUUAAAGAGCCUUAUAGACAACCUAACAUUCUUGCAGAAUAUAUAGCUUUUCAAUUAAAAAAUCGAGUUUCAUUCCGAAAGGCAAUAAAAAAAGCCAUUGAAUUAACUAAAAAAGCAGAUAUAAGGGGAGUCAAAGUAAAAAUAGCGGGUCGUCUCGGAGGAAAAGAAAUUGCACGUGCGGAAUGCAUCAUAAAGGGUAGACUUCCUCUCCAAACAAUUCGCGCUAAAAUUGAUUAUUGUUGCUAUCCAAUUCGAACUAUCUAUGGAGUAUUAGGUGUAAAAAUUUGGAUAUUCGUAGAUGAAGAAUAACUAAUCUUGUCUUCGCAUUCUGUGCAGUGAUAGAAUAAAAAAUGACAAGAGCCUGUUUUCCUGAAAUCCCUAAAAGAAAGAAGAAAUUAUACCUCUUUCUAUAAGAUUUAAUGAAAAUUGAUAAAUCAUUUAAUAUAAUUGCUAUGCUUAGUGUGUGACUCGUUAUUUUUUCUUUAAAAAAAUAAAAAAAUUUAGUAAUUAUAGAAAAUUAACUAAUAACCAACCUAUUGCUUCGUAUUGUCGAGAUCCUAACUAAGAAGCAGUCACUAUCUGAAUAAAUAUCUCUAUCAUAAAUGAGUAGAUCUAUCAUAUAGUUGUAGCAACUGCAAUUUUUUCUCUAAAAAAGAAACGAGAUUCUAGGUUCUGAAGCAAAACUAAAGGGAUGUAGAUAAAGGGAAAGAUGAUAGAAAGAAGAAUAAGUAAGAUAUAGGAUUCCAAUAUGUAUGGUCUAUGAAUUGCAUCAAAAAAGGCAAUGUGAUAAAGCAUCAAUAUAAUAUAAUAAAAAUAACAGAGAAUUAGAAAUCGUAACUUGAAACAAGAACUACAAAUUUAAAGCAAUAAUUAAAGAGCCACCCGGGUUAAUAAAACUGAGAAAAUUAACUCGAAAAGACAUUUUUUUGAAGCUCCGUUGCGGGAUUCAGACCUAACCAUUCAAGGAGAAGCAGUGGGAACGACACAACCUAUGACUCCAUAGGAUUUUAUUGCAAAGAAUCCAAAAACCUCAUUGGACGGGAUGGCGGAACAAACCCCAAAAAUUGUCUUAUUUGGUAAGGUUAUAAAUUACCAAAUAAGACAGGAAUAGAGUAAAUAUUCGCCUGCGAAAUCCUUAUUGAAUUAGAAUACUUUACCGCAAUUCAAUAAUUCAAUAAAUUCAAUAAAAGUAAAAAGAAAGAUAUUUUUUUAAGAAGGAUUACGUUAAAAAUAGAAUAUAGAUAAAUAGACACACACAUCUAGAUAUAUUCUAGAUCUUCUUUCUUGACUAUAUAUUUUUCUAUUUGAACAAAAUUAACUAUGAAAAAUAAAAAAAAACUAACUUUUUCUAUUACCUAUUAAUGUGUAUCUAUCCAUAAUAUUUUUGAAUAUUAUGGAAUUAGAGCAAUUUGCACGCUUUCUCAUUUAAUUCGCGAGGAGCUGGAUGAGAAGAAACUCUCAUGUCCAGUUUUGCAGUAGAGAUGGAACUACGAAAGAACCAUCGACUAUAACCCCAAAAGAACCAAAUUUCGCAAACAACAUAGAGGAAGAAUGAAAGGAAAAUCCUGCCGAGGCAAUCGUAUUUGUUUUGGUAGAUAUGCUCUUCAAGCACUUGAACCCACUUGGAUCACGGCGAGACAGAUAGAAGCGGGACGAAGAGCAAUAACACGAUAUGCACGUCGUGGUGGAAAAAUAUGGGUACGUAUAUUUCCCGACAAACCAGUUACACUAAGACCCACAGAAACACGUAUGGGCUCGGGAAAGGGGUCCCCCGAAUAUUGGGUAGCUGUUGUUAAACCAGGUCGUAUACUUUAUGAAAUGGGUGGAGUAUCCGAAACUGUAGCUAGAGCAGCUAUCUCCAUAGCUGCCAGUAAAAUGCCCAUACGAAGUCAAUUUAUUCGAUUAGAGAUAUAGAACCCCCAAAACGGGUUUUUCUUUCUGGAAAGACAAUAUUUCUUUCAUCCUUUUGCAUCGAAAUAAAAAAUUGAAAUCCAAAUAAUAUGAUUCAACCUCAGACCCUUUUAAAUGUAGCAGAUAAUAGUGGAGCUCGAAAAUUGAUGUGUAUUCGAGUCAUAGGAACUGCUGGUAAUCAGCGAUAUGCUCGUAUUGGUGAUGUUAUUGUUGCUGUAAUCAAAGACGCAGUGCCCCAAAUGCCUCUAGAAAGAUCCGAAGUAAUUCGAGCUGUAAUUGUACGUACAUGUAAAGAGUUCAAAUGUGAAGACGGUAUAAUAAUCCGCUAUGAUGACAAUGCAGCGGUUAUAAUUGAUCAAAAAGGAAAUCCAAAAGGAACUCGAGUUUUUGGGGCGAUCACCGAGGAAUUGAGAGAAUUGAAUUUUACCAAAAUAGUUUCAUUAGCUCCUGAAGUAUUAUAAAUACUAGUAGGCGAAAUUUAGAUCAAAGAGUGAAUUAGUAGAUUGUGUUUCAUGUAUAUGUUUUAAAAUCUAAAAUGAAAAGAAAAAAAGAAAACAUGUUGAUUAUAGAAAAAUUGGGAGGAACCUAGAAUUAGAAUCUUAUGGGCAAAGACACUAUUGCUGAUUUACUAACCUCUAUAAGAAACGCGGACAUGAAUAAAAAAGCAACAGUUCGAGUAGUAUCUACAAAUAUUACUGAAAACAUUGUAAAAAUACUUCUACGAGAGGGUUUUAUUGAAAGUGUUCGGAAACAUCAGGAACGUAACAGAUAUUUCUUGGUUUUAACUUUGCGACAUCAAAAGAGAAAGACUAGAAAAGGAAUAUAUAGAACAAGAACUUUUUUAAAGCGUAUCAGCCGACCCGGCUUACGAAUUUAUACCAACUAUCAAGGAAUUCCUAAAGUUUUGGGUGGAAUGGGAAUUGCUAUUCUUUCUACUUCUCGAGGGAUAAUGACAGAUCGAGAGGCUCGACUAAACAGAAUUGGGGGAGAAGUCUUAUGUUAUAUAUGGUAAUCGCCUUGCCUAUAGUGCCCGAAUUCUCUCUCGAACUUCCUAUUAUUCAAACAAAAAGAAAAAAUAGCAGAAAAAAAAAUGACAGAAAAAAAAUAGGUGAGAAAAGAAAAACCCGAGAGAAGCAAAAGUAACUUUCGAAAGUUUAGUUACGGAAGCCCUACCCAAUGGAAUGUUCCGCGUUCGUCUAGAGAAUGACACCAUCAUCCUGGGCUAUAUUUCAGGAAAGAUUCGGUCUAGUUCUAUACGAAUACUGAUGGGGGAUAGGGUCAAAAUUGAAGUAAGUCGUUAUGAUUCAAGCAAGGGACGUAUCAUUUAUAGACUUCCCCAUAAGGAUUCGAAGCGUAUCGAAGACUCGAAGGAUAGCGAAGAUUUGAAGGAUAGCGAAGAUUUGAAGGAUUAGGUUUUUCUUUUUUCUAGAAUAAUAAAUGCAAAGUUCAAAAAUUACAGCGAAGAGACUUAUUUUUUCCAAAAGAUUAGAUUCAUGGUUUAAGAAAGGAUACGGAAAUAUGAAAAUAAGAGCUUCCGUUCGUAAAAUUUGUACAAAAUGUCGACUGAUUCGUAGGCGUGGCCGAAUUAGAGUCAUUUGCUCCAACCCGAAACAUAAACAAAGACAAGGAUAAUCUUUCGAAAAAGCACUUUACUUUCUAAAAAGUAAAAAAAAAGAAUACCUACGGGAAUGUUUAAAUUAAAAAUAAAAUAAUUUGAAAUAAUUAAAGUAAAGGGUAUAUUUUACCCUGAAACGGAUAUCUUUGUAUCUUUUAUUUAUUUAUUUUUACUCAUAUUUAUGAGAUUUAUGAGAUAAUAAAAUAUGGCAAAAGCUGUACCAAAAAUAGGUUCACGUAAGAGAGUGCGUAUUGGUUUACGUAGGAAUGCACGUUUUAGUUUACGGAAGAGUGCACGUAGAAUAACAAAAGGGGUUAUUCAUGUUCAAGCUAGUUUCAACAAUACCAUUAUAACUGUUACAGACCCACAAGGUCGAGUGGUUUUUUGGUCCUCUGCGGGUACUUGUGGAUUCAAAAGCUCAAGAAAAGCAUCACCCUAUGCUGGUCAAAGAACAGCAGUCGAUGCUAUUCAUACAGUAGGUUUACAACGAGCAGAAGUUAUGGUAAAGGGCGCUGGUAGUGGAAGAGAUGCCGCAUUACGAGCCAUUGCUAGAAGUGGUGUGCGCUUAAGUUGUAUACGCGAUGUAACACCUAUGCCGCAUAAUGGAUGUCGACCGCCUAAAAAAGGCGUCUGUAAAAGAAUUAACCCGCUUUCAAGAGAAAUAAACGAUUCAAUGAUCAAAUAAUAAUACUAGUCUAUUAUGGUUCGAGAGGAGGUAGCAGGAUCCACUCAAACAUUACAGUGGAAGUGUGUUGAAGAGUAGAUAGUAAGCGUCUUUAUUAUGGUCGUUUCAUUCUGUCCCCGCUUAUAAAAGGUCAAGCGGAUACCGUCGGUAUUGCCUUGCGAAGAGCUUUACUUGGAGAAAUAGAAGGAACAUGUAUCACACGUGCAAAAUUUGGAAGCGUGCCACACGAAUAUUCUACAAUAGCGGGUAUUGAAGAAUCCGUACAAGAAAUUUUAGUAAAUUUGAAAGAAAUUGUAUUGAGAAGUAAUCUCUAUGGAGUUAGAGACGCAUCCAUUUGCGUCAAAGGUCCCAAAUGCAUAACUGCUCAAGAUAUCAUCUUACCACCUUCCAUAGAAGUCAUUGAUACGGCACAGCCUAUAGCUAACUUGACCGAGCCCAUUGAUUUCUGUAUUCAGUUACAGAUCAAGAGAGAUCGUGGAUAUCAGACGGAACUUAGAAAGAACUAUCAAGAUGGAAGUUAUCCUAUAGAUGUUGUAUCCAUGCCUGUUCGAAAUGUGAAUUAUAGUAUUUUUUCUUGUGGGAAUGGAAAUGAAAAACACGAGAUACUUUUUCUCGAAAUAUGGACUAAUGGAAGUUUAACCCCUAAGGAAGCGCUUUAUGAGGCUUCUCGUAAUUUGAUUGAUUUAUCAUAAUAAAAUGGAUUUUAGGUAUCUAGGGAAAAUUCACUUCGAAGUAACUAUUUCCUAGAUACCUAUGCACGGUACCUCACGGUUGAAUGAAUCAACCUGAAAAAUACCUAAAAAAGGCCUAAAGUUAAGGAUUUAUCAAUGGGUAAUGUUGCUCCAAUACCUAACCAAAGAGCUACUGCAGUACCGAUUAAAAAAACGGUCGUAGCUACCGGGCGACGAAAUGGAUUUUGGAAUUUGUUGACAUUUUCUAGAAAAGGUACUGUCAAUAAGCCUGUUGGCACAGAAACCAUUAAGAGAACGCCCAAUAACUUAUUGGGUACCAUACGGAGUAUUUGAAACACGGGAAAGAAGUACCACUCGGGUAAUAUUUCCAAAGGAGUUGCAAACGGAUCCGCGGGUUCACCAAUCAUUGAUGGCUCGAGAACAGCUAAACCUACAUUACAUGCAAUAGUACCUAGAAUUACUACUGGAAAAAUAUAUAAAAGAUCGUUGGGCCACGCGGGUUCGCCGUAAUAAUUAUGUCCCAUCCCUUUAGCUAAUUUUGCUCUUAAUACAGGAUCAUUUAAGUCUGGUUUCUUUGUUAUUGGGAUAGGUGAACUCUUUAGGAUCCAUCCCCCAAAGGAACCGGACAUGAGAAUUUAUCAUCAUCCGGCUCGAGCAAUAAAGAAAGAAAUAAGACCGCGGAAGAUCCAUAAUAAUAAUAGAAUAAGGUAUAUAAUUACUCAAUGACUCUAGGCAAGAAAAGCUUUAUCAGAUUAUCUUUUCCGAAGUUGCACCUACAACUACUCAUUGAAAAUAAUCCUAUUCUUAUGGGUAAAUGCUCAAUAUCCAAGUGGGCUUACAAAUUUGAUCAUGAUCAAUUGCUUUGUGGAUUGUCUCAUGUCUCUUGAUUAGUUGGUCUUUAUCCCCUCACUAUCGCAAGUUUCUUACGCCCAAACAAAGUAUUUACUUGUUACUAAUAAAAAAAUCAAAAAGUUUAGCCUAUGCUCUUCCUUAGAUCCCUUCUUUUACUCCGAUAGUAUUGCGAAUCGCAAUCGAUGCAAAGAAAAUGAAUGCAUUUCCAUACCAUAAUAAAAAAAGGUAAGUGUAAUAAAUAGAGAAUUGGAUCAUGUCACAUGACUUAUUCCAUUUCUACUCUAUGGGACCUUACGGAGCCUUUUCAUGGAUGACAUGGUUGGGGUAUGAUCAUAGAAAAUAUUCUCCUCAAGUGAACCAGCCUAUCCUUCCUAGGUAGGGGACUUACGUGUUGAUUGGAUGCGGAGACACCUUUGGUUGUGAAUUCUAAUGUGGCAGAUCCAAUUCUUUAUCUGCAUGGCCAAAUCUAUAAUUCAAGUCACACACUCCCAUAAUCCGCCUUUUUUUCUUUUGUAAAAUUAACUUCAACUAUUUGUAUUACAUCAAAAUACUUCGGAGUUGAAGAGAAGUAUCCAAAUGACAUGUGUUAUUUUACAAUAACCCAUGUUUGUAGCAAUGAAAUACCACAACCUACCCAAUAUUAUAUAUGAGAAUUCUAAUUCUCUAUGAUAUGCCUUCCCUAUAAAGGACCCGAAAUACCUUGCUUACGUAUCAUUGGAAAGUGCAUUAACAUAAAUACGGCAGUAAGCAGAGGAAGUACAAAGGUAUGUAAACUAUAAAAACGAGUCAAAGUGGAUUGGCCCACACUAGCACUUCCACAUAAUAACUCCACUAGAGGCGAUCCUAUUACCGGAAUCGCAUCAGGUACACCUGUCACAAUUUUGACUGCCCAAUAACCAAUUUGAUCCCAAGGCAAAGAAUAACCCGUUACACCAAACGAUGCAGUCAAAACAGCCAAAACCACACCUGUGACCCAAGUUAAUUCGCGGGGUUUUUUAAAUCCACCUGUGAGAUACACACGAAAUACAUGUAGGAUCAUCAUUAGAACCAUCAUACUUGCUGACCAUCGAUGAACUGAUCGGAUUAACCAACCAAAGUUGGCCUCGGUCAUUAUGUAUUGAACCGAGGAAAAAGCCUCUGUAACAGUUGGGCGAUAGUAAAAAGUCAUAGCAAAUCCGACGCUGUAACAUAGUUGAGGUUGAAUCUAAAGGAUCUACUGCUGGAUAAAUACCCUUGGAAGCUAAUCCUUUGGAAAGUACGGUAGUAGCAUCCAAAUGGGCAAAUGUUGUGGCAGGAGCAGGGUCAGUCAAAUCGUCCGCAGGUACAUAAACCGCUUGGAUCGAAGUUAUAGAUCCCUUUUUAGUAGAAGCAAUUAUUUCUUGCAAAGAACCCAUUUCUGUACUAAGAGUAGGUUGAUAACCCACCGCGGAGGGCAUUCUCCCUAAUAAAGUGGAUACCUCCGAUCCUGCUUGAACAAAACGAAAGAUAUUAUCGAUGAAUAAAAGCACGUCUUGCUUAUUAACAUCUCGGAAAUAUUCCGCCAUAGUUCGGGCAGUUAAACCAACUCUCAUACGAGCUCCCGGUGGUUCAUUCAUUUGGCCAUAGACUAGAGCUACCUUUGAUUCCUCAAUAUUUUUUUCAUUAAUUACUCCGGAUUCCCUCAUUUCCAUACAAAGAUCAUUUCCUUCGCGAGUCCGUUCCCCUACUCCACCAAAUAUGGAUACGCCCCCAUGAGCUUUAGCAAUGUUGUUGAUUAAUUCCAUGAUGAGUACUGUUUUACCUACUCCAGCCCCCCCAAAUAGUCCUAUUUUUCUUCCACGUCGAUAAGGAGCUAAAAGAUCGACGACCUUAAUACCUGUUUCAAAGAUGGAUAAUUUCGUAUCUAACUCGAUAAAGGCAGGCGCAGAUCUAUGAAUAGGGAACGUUGCACUACUAUCUACAGGACCCAUUGUCAACAGGCUCCCCAAGAACGUUGAAAAUUCGCCCGAGAGUAGCUCCGCCGACCGGAACACUGAGAGGAGCUCCUGUGUCAAUCACUUCCAUUCCUCUCAUCAACCCAUCUGUAGCACUCAUAGCUACAGCUCUAACUCGAUUAUUUCCUAAUAAUUGUUGUACCUCACAAGUCACAUUAAUUUGCUUAUCGGCAGUGUCUCUACUCUUGACUACCAAAGCGUUAUAAAUAUAAGGUAACUUACCGGGGGGGAAAGUGACGUCCAGCACGGGUCCAAUAAUUUGAUCGAUACGGCCUGUACUUUUUUCUUCAAUUGGGGAAACCCCGGGACGAGAAGUAGUAGGAUUGGUUCUCAUAAUUAUCACAUAAUAAAAAAAAAGGAAUUUGUCGAAAAAAAAAUUUCUUGUUGAAUAAUACCAAAUCCAAAAAAAUAUCCAAAAAUCCAAAAGUAAAAAGGAAAUCAAUUAGUUAAUUCAAUAAGAGAAAAAAGGGGAACAGGACUUGAUUUCGUUGCCCAAGCGAAUCCCUUUCAACCCUUUACUCAUGGAAUGAGGCCGUUGGAAAGUUCAAUCAAUCUUUUUUUCAUAAGAUAGAUUUUUCCUUUUGUGGAGGAUCUGUGCCUACUCUACUUUCCUAUCUAGGACUUCGCUAUACAAAAUAUAUACUACUGUGAAGCAUAGAUUGCUGUCAACAGAAAAUUUUCUUAGUAUUUAGUUAGGUAUUUCUUUUCAAAAUAAGAAAGGGGCCCUUUAAUAAUUUGUAAAAAAAAAAGGUUAAGGAUUGAUUUGGGUUGCGCUAUAUCUAUCAAAGAGUAUACAAUAAUGAUGGAUUUGUUAAAUCAAAUCCUUGGUUUAAUAACGAACGGUGUUAACUUACCAUAACAACAACUCAAUUCCUAUCGAAUUCCUAUAGGAUAGAACAUACACAGGGUGUACGCAUUAUAUAUGAAUGAAAAAUAUUAAUUAACUUAAGCAUGCCCUCAAUUUUCUGUAAUGAGUUGCUAUUAAUUGAAUAUCUCUUUUUUUUAUGAGAUUUUUGCUAAAGUUUCAUUUACGCCUAAUUCACAUCGAGUAGACCUUGUUAUUGUGAGAAUUCUUAAUUCAAGAGUUGUAAGGAGGGACUUAUGUCACCACAAACAGAAACUAAAGCAAGUGUUGGAUUUAAAGCUGGUGUUAAAGAUUAUAGAUUGACUUACUACACCCCGGAGUAUGAAACCAAGGAUACUGAUAUCUUGGCAGCAUUCUGAGUAUCUCCUCAACCUGGGGUUCCGCCCGAAGAAGCAGGGGCUGCAGUAGCUGCCGAAUCUUCUACCGGUACAUGGACAACUGUUUGGACUGAUGGACUUACUAGUCUUGAUCGUUACAAAGGACGAUGCUAUCACAUCGAGCCUGUUCCUGGGGAAGACAGUCAAUGGAUCUGUUAUGUAGCUUAUCCAUUAGAUCUAUUUGAAGAGGGUUCCGUUACUAACAUGUUUACUUCCAUUGUAGGUAACGUAUUUGGUUUCAAAGCCCUACGUGCUCUACGUCUGGAGGAUCUACGAAUUCCCCCGACUUAUUCAAAAACUUUCCAAGGCCCGCCUCAUGGUAUCCAAGUGGAAAGAGAUAAGUUGAACAAGUAUGGUCGUCCUUUAUUGGGAUGUACUAUUAAGCCAAAAUUGGGAUUAUCUGCAAAACAUUACGGUAGAGCGUGUUAUGAGUGUCUAUGUGGUGGACUUGAUUUUACCAAAGAUGAUGAAAACGUAAAAUCACAACCAUUUAUGCGCUGGAGAGAUCGUUUUGUCUUUUGUGCCGAAGCUAUUUAUAAAUCACAGGCGGAAACCGGUGAAAUCAAGGGGCAUUACUUGAAUGCAACUGCGGGUACAUGUGAAGAAAUGAUGAAGAGAGCUGUUUUUGCGAGAGAAUUAGGUGUUCCUAUUGUAAUGCAUGACUACUUAACUGGGGGAUUCACCGCAAAUACUACUUUGGCUCAUUAUUGCCGCGACAAUGGCUUACUUCUUCACAUUCACCGUGCAAUGCAUGCAGUUAUUGAUAGACAGAAAAAUCAUGGUAUGCAUUUCCGUGUAUUAGCUAAAGCAUUGCGUAUGUCUGGGGGAGAUCAUAUCCACGCCGGUACAGUAGUAGGUAAGUUAGAAGGGGAACGCGAAAUCACUUUAGGUUUUGUUGAUUUAUUGCGCGACGAUUUUAUUGAAAAAGAUCGUGCUCGCGGUAUCUUUUUCACUCGGGACUGGGUAUCCAUGCCAGGUGUUAUACCAGUAGCUUCAGGUGGUAUUCAUGUUUGGCAUAUGCCAGCUCUGACCGAAAUCUUUGGGGAUGAUUCUGUAUUACAAUUUGGUGGAGGAACUUUAGGACAUCCUUGGGGAAAUGCACUUGGUGCAGCAGCUAAUCGAGUGGCUUUAGAAGCCUGUGUACAAGCUCGUAACGAAGGGCGCGAUCUUGCUCGUGAAGGUAAUGAAAUUAUCCGAGCAGCUUGCAAAUGGAGUCCUGAACUAGCCGCAGCUUGUGAAGUAUGGAAGGCGAUCAAAUUCGAGUUCGCGCCGGUAGAUACUAUCGAUUAAUAGAUAAAACUAAAUAUGAAGAAGGUCUAAAUAAAAAGAGAAAAAAUAAGUUACGAAAUGCAGUGAUUCUUCUUUAUUCUUCUAAUUGACUGCAAUUAAACUCGGCUCAAUCUUUUUUUUUUCUAAAAAAAAAAUUCUAAAAAAAAGAUUGAACCGAAUAAAAAUGGAUCAUGAUACGAUCAUGAGACUUCACAAAUUGAGAUUCGCCUAUUCUACAUAUCUAGAAUAUAUAAAGGUAUAAUAAAUAAAUACAAAUCAAAUAUACUAUUAUCAUAUGAUAAUAGAAUCAAAUACGCAGUAUUUACAGGAAAAAAGUCUUCUAUAAAAAAUAUUUAUUUUGCAAACUAAAAAAUACAAUAGUCAAUAUUCCUCAUAAUAGAUAUACUUAAUUAUAUCAUAACAAUCUUAAGACAUUUUUCGAAUAGAUAGAAAUAGUUAAUUUGAAUUGAGACACCUAUUCUAUGACGGAUUUAAACUUACCUUUGAUUUUCGUGCCUUUAGUAGGUUUAGUAUUUCCGGCAAUUGCAAUGGCUUCUUUAUUUCUUUAUGUGCAGAAAAAUAAGAUUGUCUAGUAUUUUUUAGUGUAAGUAAGUGUAAGUAAUAGAAUAUGGUAGGGUAUGUGGCUCUUUCUACACACAAAUGAAAAACGGCUAUGGAUGCGGAUAUAGGCUACAAGCAUAAAUGCAUGAAUAUGCGGAGCCGGGUAUAGCUAUUUUUAUUUUAAUUGAAUCAACGAAUAUUUUUUGAAUAGAAAGUCAGUGUAUCUAACCUAUUAUUUCACAAGAGUACUAGUUGCUGAAGGCGAUUUCAGAAUCAAAAAAAGUAAAGUCAAAAUCAUUUAGCUUAUUCUCUCAAUUUCAAUCGACUGCUGCUGGAUUUAGUAUAUCUAAUAUGAAUUGGCGAUCAGAACACAUAUGGGUAGAACUUCUAAAAGGUUCUCGAAAAAGGGGUAAUUUUUUCUGGGCCUCUAUUCUUUUUCUAGGUUCACUAGGAUUCUUAUCAGUUGGGGUUUCCAGUUAUCUUGGUAAGAAUAUGAUAUCUAUACUUCCAUCUCAACAAAUUCUUUUUUUUCCGCAGGGGGUCGUGAUGUCUUUCUACGGAAUCGCGGGCUUAUUCAUUAGCUCCUACUUGUGGUGUGCUACUUUGUGGAAUGUAGGUAGUGGUUAUGACCGAUUCGAUAGAAAAGAGGGAAUCGUGUGCAUUUUUCGUUGGGGAUUCCCUGGAAUAAAACGUCGCGUCUUCCUUCGAUUCCUUAUGCGGGAUAUCCAAUCAAUUAGAAUUUAGGUUAAAGAGGGUUUUUAUCCUCGUCGUAUCCUUUAUAUGGAAAUCCGGGGCCAGGGGGUCAUUCCCUUGACUCGUACUGAUGAUAAGUUUUUUACUCCACGAGAAAUUGAACAAAAAGCUGCCGAAUUGGCCUAUUUCUUGCGCGUACCAAUUGAAGUAUUUUGAGUAUCCAUUGUAUUUUUUGGAACUGAAUAGAAUGAAGAAGAAUUGGAAGAAGAAAAGUUUUCUCAACAUGGGGAGGAAGUCCCUCCGAAAUUUGAUUUGUUAUUGUAUUGUAAGGGGCUUUUUUAGUAUUUAUCUAAAGGAAGGAACAAACGAGGAUAAGAUAAAAUUGCUGUAAAUUUAUUUUGCCCAAGUGGGAUAUAUGGCAUACUAUUCUUUCCAUUUUCAUCUUUUUUUCUAUUCCACUCCAUCUAGAUAUAAGAAAGAACCCAAUGCAAUGAAAUUCCACUAAUAUACAAUACAAAAAAGAAGAAUAGAUACAGGGUCUCAAACCUUGCUAGAGUUUUUGCUUCAAAGAAAAAAAAUAUCAUCAUAGAGUCAGCGAAUGAAGCGGAUUCAUUAACAACUCAAUUUAUAGAUCAAAAAUGAAAAAAAAGAAAGCAUUGCCUUCUUUACUAUAUCUUGUAUUUAUCGUACUUUUGCCCUGGGGGGCCUCUUUCUCAGUUAACAAAUGUCUGGAACUUUGGAUUAAGAAUUGGUGGAAUACCAGACAAUCUGAAACUCUCUUAACUGAUAUUCAAGAGAAAAGGAUUCUAGAAAGAUUCAUAGAAUUAGAAGAACUUUCUCUCUUGGACGAGAUGAUAAAAGAGAAACCAAAGACACAUGUACAAAAACCUCCUAUAGGAAUACACAAGGAAAUAAUACAAUUGGUCAAAAUAGAUAAUGAAGAUCAUCUCCAUAUCAUUUUGCAUUUCUCGACAAAUAUAAUCUGUUUGGCUAUUCUAAGUAGUUCUUUUUUUUUUGGUAAAGAGGAACUUGUCAUUUGGAAUUCUUGGGUUCAGGAAUUCUUCCAUAACUUAAAUGACUCAAUAAAAGCUUUUUUUAUCCUUUUGGUUACUGAUUUUUUGUUGGAUUUCACUCCACCCGGGGUUGGGAACUAGUAAUUCGUUGGGUCUACAACGAUCUUGGAUGGGCUCCUAACGAGCUAAUUUUUACUAUUUUUGUUUGUAGUUUUCCAGUAAUUCUAGAUACAUGUUUGAAAUUUUGGGUCUUUUUUUGUUUAAACCGUCUAUCCCCUUCGCUUGUAGUCAUUUAUCAUUCAAUUAGUGAAGCAUAAAUUCAUUUGAUCUCCUGAUAUUAAUCAAAUUAGCAUCUUUCUUUCUUUAGAAAAAGGCCCCUUUCCAUUUUAGCAAAAUUCUUUCUAUUUCUACCUGCUUAAAGGUAUUCAUCAUUCCGGUACAACUGUUGCAGUAGAAUGACAACAGACUCGUGUAUAGGGAACUAGAUUAGCUUAGCUACCUAUCUAAUUUAUUGUAGAAAUUCUGGGAUCUGCGAUUGGACAUGGAAAAUAGAAAUACUUUUUCUUGGGUAAAGGAACAGAUGACUCGAUCGAUUUCGGUAUCGAUCAUGAUAUACGUAAUAACUCAGACAUCUAUUUCAAAUGCAUAUCCCAUUUUUGCGCAGCAGGGUUAUGAAAACCCACGAGAAGCAACUGGACGAAUUGUAUGCGCCAAUUGCCAUUUAGCUAGCAAGCCCGUGGAUAUUGAAGUUCCCCAAGCUGUGCUUCCCGAUACUGUAUUUGAAGCAGUUCUCCGAAUUCCUUAUGAUAUGCAACUGAAACAAGUUCUUGCUAAUGGGAAAAAGGGAGGGUUAAAUGUGGGUGCUGUUCUUAUUUUGCCCGAGGGAUUCGAAUUAGCGCCGCCCGACCGUAUUUCCCCUGAGUUGAAAGAAAAGAUAGGAAAUCUCUCUUUUCAGAGUUAUCGUCCCGAUAAAAAAAAUAUUCUUGUGAUAGGCCCUGUUCUCGGUAAGAAAUAUAGUGAAAUUGUCUUUCCCAUUCUUCCCUCUGAUCCUGCUACGAAGAAAGAUGCUCAUUUCUUAAAAUAUCCCAUAUAUGUAGGGGGAAACCGAGGAAGAGGGCAGAUCUAUCCUGAUGGUAGCAAGAGUAACAAUACGGUCUAUAAUGCUACGUCAACAGGUAUAGUAAAAAAAAUACUACGUAAAGAAAAAGGGGGGUAUGAAAUAUCCAUAGUGGAUGCAUCGGAUGGACGCCAAUUGAUUGAUAUUAUACCUCCCGGGCCAGAACUUCUUGUUUCAGAGGGGGAAUCCAUCAAGCUUGAUCAACCAUUAACAAGUAAUCCCAAUGUGGGAGGAUUUGGUCAGGGGGAUGCAGAAAUAGUGCUUCAGGAUCCAUUACGCGUCCAAAGGGCUUUUGUUCUUCUUCGCAUCCGUUAUUUUGGCACAAGUUUUUUUGGUUCUCAAAAAGAAACAGUUUGAAAAGGUUCAAUUGUACGAAAUGAAUUUCUAGGUCCCGGGAUUUCUUACCAUCAACUUGGUAAAAAGCCGGGAUUUAUUGGCAAUUGUUAGAAUUAUCUAUGAUCUAUUUUGGAAAUCCUUUUUUUGUUUAGACUUUUUUUUGUUUGCGAGAUGUCUGGAAUUCCUUAUUUCUAUCUCAUGCAAAAGAAGAGAAUCCAAGGCAAAGGCGAGAACAAUAAAAGGAUUUCUUCCUUUUCAAAGGGAUUGCUGGUCUUGUUAAUCGUCUAUUUGGCACAAGAAAAAGAGAAAAAGGCCUUUUUCUUGUGCCAAUUCUUGUUUUCUUGUCUCGAAAUAAGAAUCCUUUUUCUUUCUAUUCGUCAAAGGUUACAAUUUCUUCUUUAUUCGGGUCUGUCUCUUGGCCCUCUUUUGCUUAGGUUCAGGGGAGGUAGUGCACAAACAGAGGGGAAGGGAAUAUGGCGGGGGACAAAUUUAUUGUGAUUGUGAGCAAAUAGAAUUGCUUGACUUGUUCGAUUAAGUUCAAUUUAGAACUUACAGAAAUUUUGCAAAAAAAAACGUAAACUUUUCCGUUGAAGGGUGGUUUUUUUUAGGCUAGUUGAGUAGUUUUGAUUAAGGUUUUAUUAGUUUAUUACUCUAAGCUAAAUCAAUGAUUUCCAGGAGACUCUCUUCGUGGAAUAAAAUAUUGUAUUGGAUCCUCGAUUGAUCUCUUUUUCUUAUUGCUUCAUAAGAGUGAAUCAAAUAGAUUAAAGUCGCGUUAUAAGAGUAAGAAUUAUGCGGGUCCUUUCCGCUCUAAUCAGAUAAAAAAAAGCGGGGGUAAGGACCCGCUAAGCUCCUACUUUUUCAUGUUUCCAAUCCGAUCCCUCCGAUUACUAUAGAGAUGAACCCAAUCCAGAAUAUGAACCAUAAAAGAAAGCACCUACUAAAUCAAUCACAGGAAUACCAGUUACCGUACCUAUCAGCCAAAGAGGAAUUCUUCCAGUAGUAUCGGCCAUUUCCCCUACUUUCCUCCACAUUUUAUCAAGUGGUCAUGCUAGAGACAAAAACAGUCAUGGAUAGUUAUGUUAUAAGGAUGGUAUCCUUCCAAAUGGGAUAAGAGAGUUCUUACUACUCUCUUCUUUUCUCUCAAUUGAAGAAGUAAUUGGAAAACAAAACAGCAAGUACAAAAAUGAGUAAUAAACCCCAGUAUAGACUGGUACGAUUCAAUUCAACAUUUUGUUCAUUCGGGUUUGAUUGUGUCAUAGUUCUAUAGUUGGAAUUUAGUUUAUCGUUAAAAUGAGUAAUAAACCCCAGUAUAGACUGGUACGAUUCAAUUCAACAUUUUGUUCAUUCGGGUUUGAUUGUGUCAUAGUUCUAUAGUUGGAAUUUAGUUUAUCGUUGGAUGAACUGCAUUGCUGAUAUUGAUCCCAAGAAAAAAAACAGUAGGUACAGCUAGUCCGUGAAUAGCCAGCCAUCGCACUAUAAAAAUAGGAUAGGUUCGAUCUAUGGUCAUUGAGGGCCUCCUAAAAAGAUCUACUAAAUUUAUCGAGUUGUUCUAAAGAAUCAAAACGGUCGGUUAUUAAAGGAAUUCCUUGUCGGCUUUCCGUGAAAUACUCGUUUGGCCGAGGACUUCCAAACACGUCAUAAGCUAAACUCGUACUGACAAAUAACCAACCCGCAAUGAAUAGGGAAGGUAUAGUAAUGCUAUGAAUAACCUAGUAUCGAAUACUGGUAAUAAUAUCAGCAAAAGAACGUUCUCCCGUGCUUCCAGACAUGCUGAGCUCCCCAAAUUUUUGUACAUUCAAAAAAUGAUGCGGAACUGGGUAGUGAUAUUGAUCCGGAAGAAGCUCAACAGGCACUUAAAAUAGCCGAAGAUAACUUGAGUAAAGCUGAGGGUACGAAAGAAUUGGUUGAAGCGAAACUAGCUCUCAGACGAGCUAGGAUACGAAUCGAGGCUGUCAAUUGGAUUCCCCCAUCCAAUUGAAGACAAUCCAAUGGUUUAUAGUUGAUACAAAGAUAAAGGGAAGAGGGGUAGAAAAAGUUAUUAGAUAGCGAAGCGAAAUAAGCCCAAUGCUAUCUAGUAAUUUUUCUACCUACCUACCUACUAUUGGAUUUGAACCAAUGACUCCCGCCGUAUGAAAGCAAUACUCUAACCACUGAGUUAAGUAGGCAAUUUAUGAUCACAAAGGAAGACCCAUUACUUCGAUCGAUUAUAUAUCGAAUCCCUUUUCUAAGCAAUAACGCUUCCUUAUUGGUAUGUUAUAUACUAAACAGAUACAUAUUUAAAGAGAUACCCUCUGGCAUUAGAGAAUAUUCAUCUUGACAAUAAAUUAUCUAUAUGUUAAGAUAUCUCUGAUAAGGGCUAUAGCUCAGUUCGGUAGAGCAACUCGUUUACACGUGCGCCAAUGCUUUUCAAAGGAGCUUAUUAUGCAAUGAAUAUAAUGGAUCUUAUUGCAAAAUCAAUGUCUUACUUCAUAGAUUCGACAGAAUAGGAGAACAGUAGCCUGACAAAUAGUCUUAGUGAAUCCUGAUUCGACAUUAAAAGUAUAUUGAUUCUUUCCCAAUAAACGAAGACUUUUUUCUGUAAAUACUGCGUAUUUGAUUCCAUCCAUAAAUCGACUUUCCCUCCUAUGCUCUGAGUUCCAGUAUCGAUAAGAAUUCGAGUUCUUAUUGUUCUUAUGUUAUGGUAUGAAUAUACCAUACCAAUUCGUUAUGUAUGGAUGAUGGAUGAGAUUCCAUGGAUAGAGAGCCAAUUCCAAUAGACUUAUGGAACGUUCCCGUUCGCGUGCAUCCAGCAGGAAUUGAACCCGCAAAUUUACCAAUUAUGAGUUGGGCGCUUUAACCAUUCAGCCAUGGAUGCUUAACAGGGAUCAUCCUACAUCGUAAAUAACCAAUUUUCAUAUAGAAAGACAUAUCAUAGAAAAAUGAAAUCGAAAAUAUUCGGAGAUGGCAAAUAUUCGGAGAUGACUAUGAAAACACCUCUCUGGAUCCUCGAAUUGAAAGAGAGAUUGAGAGGGAUCAAGAAUCCUAAUUCUCUCUAUUUGGAAUGGAUCCAAUUCUAUUGAGUCUGACUCAUAGUGAUCAUUUCUCUUUAGAAUGACCUUGGUUAUCAAAGGAUUGAACAACCGGGAUCCAUUUACUUAUGAUACCUAGUUGGCA
rnacentral:lncRNA from 1 species